rnacentral:lncRNA from 1 species
AAGAUUAGCCCCCAAAAAAAAAAAAAAAAAAAAAAAAAAAAAAAAAAAAAAAAGAUUAGCACCAGAAACACCAGAAAUAAAAAAUGGCAAGACUAUGAGGUGAUUAAAAUGCCAAAACCUUGAUUCCACAAGGCAUACAUAUAUCAAAGCAGCAUGUGGUAUACCAUUAAAUAUAUAGCUACAUAUAUGUGUAGGUAUAUAUACACACAUACCUUUAUAUACACACAUGUAAAUUUUACCUGUCAAAUUAGAAAAUUGAAUGGUGUGAGUUGCUCACAGCUAUAUAAUGAGGUCCUGGAUGAACACGCAGAACCUAAGGAGCACUGUAUACUACCUACAACUUACCUGAUACCAAAUUCAUGGUCAAGAAUCUGCCCUCUCCCCAGUAAUAUUACCAUUAUUGUAAAAACAAAAACAAAUCCAACAUUAAGGCAAAUAACUUCACUUUCAAAAACAAAAUGAAA